GGGGGAAAAACCUGCAACUCCAAGCAAAGCGAUGGGGCAAUGCGUAAGUUGUUUAGACGAAGGUCAAAAGCAACAGAGAAAAGAGGAAGAACGAUUGGCUUCCGUCGAAGCUCGCGCCAAAGCUGCUGAAGCCGCUCAGAGAAGGCAAGAAGAGUUUGAAAAAUCUGCUGCAGGAAGGGCUGCACGUGCUCAGUUGGCAGCAAAUGCAAAGCAAUCUGCUAACACUAACAAGGGCGAACCAGUUCUUAAGUGGAGUAUGGGGUGAGGUCGUGCUCUAUCGUCAGCUUUCACUGUAAGUGAAACUUCUGAUCUGCUAAAGUUUAGUCAGCUCUUCUGCACAUUAUGUUUAUCACUGUGAGAUUAUUGAAGUUUUGUAAUAUAUGUUAAUGAAAGGAAAAGAUUGUAUAUUUAUCCGCAUUCCUUGGCUCCGCUCAUGCCAGGCUACUUGUCUAUAUUCCCAAGUCUCCCAAGGCAGAAGUCAUUGAAUGGAGCUGCAGUCUUGUAUUUGUUAUACAUUAAUCAAGGAAACAAAAGUGUGCGAACUUUUAUUUUUCGACAAUGCUUUUCCGUGUAAAUUUUUCCCUUAACUUGUUAUGUCUCAGUCUCAACUUACAGUUCAUCCAUAUUCAAUUACUGUACAGACACUUUCCCUGCACCAACUUCAUGUUUGGCUCUGUUGACAAAACUGCCCAAUGAUAUUUGCUAAGACAUGCCACUGUGCUUAACUUUGACAUACAAAUAAAAUGUCGAUUUUUUCUUUUUAAAGCAA